GCAAGUCGAACGCGAAAGUUCCUUCGGGAGCGAGUAGAGUGGCGGACGGGUGAGUAACUCGUGGGAAUAUGCCUAGCAGUGGGGGAUAACAAUCGGAAACGGUUGCUAAUACCGCAUACGCCCUACGGGGGAAAGGCUUCGGCCGCUAUUAGAUGAGCCCGCGUCAGAUUAGCUUGUUGGUAGGGUAAUGGCCUACCAAGGCAACGAUCUGUAGCUGGUCUGAGAGGACGAUC
rnacentral:rRNA from 1 species